rnacentral:rRNA from 1 species
ACUCCUACGGGAGGCAGCAGUGAGGAAUAUUGGACAAUGGGCGGGAGCCUGAUCCAGCCAUGCCGCGUGCAGGAAGACUGCCCUAUGGUGUUAGUAACUGCUUUUGUACAGGAAGAAACACUCCCUCGUGAGGGAGCUUGACGGUACUGUAAGAAUAAGGAUCGGCUAACUCCGUGCCAGCAGCCGCGGUAAUACGGAGGAUCCAAGCGUUAUCCGGAAUCAUUGGGUUUAAAGGGUCCGUAGGUGGAUGAUUAAGUCAGAGGUGAAAUCCUGCAGCUCAACUGUAGAAUUGCCUUUGAUACUGGUUGUCUUGAAUUAUUGUGAAGUAGUUAGAAUAUGUGGUGUAGCGGUGAAAUGCAUAGAUAUCACAUAGAAUACCGAUUGCGAAGGCAGAUUACUAACAAUACAUUGACACUGAUGGACGAAAGCGUGGGGAGCGAACAGGAUUAGAUACCCUGGUAGGAUAGCGU